rnacentral:lncRNA from 1 species
UUUGUUUAUUAUGAAUGGAGGAAAUUAUGAAUUGGGAACUUAGUAAUAGAGAAAUUAAUGAAUUGGAAGUGAUCAACCAACGGCGGACUCAGGAAUUUUUUAGGAGAGGUGCAAUUUCAAAAGUUAAGAGCUAUAAAAAAAUAAAAACAACUAAAUAUCUUUAUAAUUUAAACAAUAUACAUGUAAAAUCAUAAUCAAAAUCAACAACA